rnacentral:rRNA from 1 species
AUUGAACGCUGGCGGCAUGCUUUACACAUGCAAGUCGAACGGUAACAGGGUGCUUGCACCGCUGACGAGUGGCAAACGGGUGAGUAAUGCGUCGGAACGUGCCGAGUAGUGGGGGAUAACGCAGCGAAAGUUGUGCUAAUACCGCAUACGUACUGAGGUAGAAAGUGGGGGACCUUCGGGCCUCACGCUAUUCGAGCGGCCGACGUCUGAUUAGCUAGUAGGUGAGGUAAAGGCUCACCUAGGCGACGAUCAGUAGCGGGUCUGAGAGGAUGUACCGCCACACGGGGACUGGGACACGGCCCAGACUCCUACGGGAGGCAGCAGUGGGGAAUUUUGGACAAUGGGCGAAAGCCUGAUCCAGCCAUGCCGCGUGUCGGAAGAAGGCCUUCGGGUUGUAAAGGACUUUUGUCGGGGAGGAAAUCCCCAGCGCUAAUACCGCUGGGGGAUGACAGUACCUGAAGAAUAAGCACCGGCUAACUACGUGCCAGCAGCCGCCGUAAGAC